rfam:Camelus ferus unplaced genomic scaffold scaffold667, whole genome shotgun sequence.
GGAGAGUACAGCUUAGUGGUAGAGCACAUGCUUAGCAUGCAUGAGGGCCUGUGUUCAAUCCCCAGUACCUCCA